AUUGAACGCUGGCGGCAUGCUUUACACAUGCAAGUCGAACGGUAACAGGCCGCAAGGUGCUGACGAGUGGCGAACGGGUGAGUAAUGCAUCGGAACGUGCCCAGUCGUGGGGGAUAACGCAGCGAAAGCUGUGCUAAUACCGCAUACGAUCUAUGGAUGAAAGCGGGGGACCGUAAGGCCUCGCGCGAUUGGAGCGGCCGAUGUCAGAUUAGGUAGUUGGUGGGGUAAAGGCCCACCAAGCCAACGAUCUGUAGCUGGUCUGAGAGGACGACCAGCCACUCUGGGACUGAGACACGGCCCAGACUCCUACGGGAGGCAGCAGUGGGGAAUUUUGGACAAUGGGCGCAAGCCUGAUCCAGCAAUGCCGCGUGCAGGAAGAAGGCCUUCGGGUUGUAAACUGCUUUUGUACGGAACGAAACGGUCUGGGUUAAUACCUCGGGCUAAUGACGGUACCGUAAGAAUAAGCACCGGCUAACUACGUGCCAGCAGCCGCCGUAAGAC
rnacentral:rRNA from 1 species